CCUGCCUUUAAUUUGGGGUUAACCUGGGGAAAUGGGUUUUAAUCCCGAUUAUGAUUCUUCUUGCCAGGGGGGGGGGGGGAAAGUUUUUUGUGGUUUUGGAUGGACUCGCGGCCUAUCAGCUUGUUGGUGAGGUAAUGGCUUACCAAGGCGACGACGGGUAGCCGGCCUGAGAGGGUGACCGGCCACACUGGGACUGAGACACGGCCCAGACUCCUACGGGAGGCAGCAGUGGGGAAUAUUGCACAAUGGGCGCAAGCCUGAUGCAGCGACGCCGCGUGAGGGAUGACGGCCUUCGGGUUGUAAACCUCUUUCAGUAGGGAAGAAGCGAAAGUGACGGUACCUGCAGAAGAAGCGCCGGCUAACUACGUGCCAGCAGCCGCGGUAAUACGUAGGGCGCAAGCGUUAUCCGGAAUUAUUGGGCGUAAAGAGCUCGUAGGCGGUUUGUCGCGUCUGCCGUGAAAGUCCGGGGCUCAACUCCGGAUCUGCGGUGGGUACGGGCAGACUAGAGUGAUGUAGGGGAGACUGGAAUUCCUGGUGUAGCGGUGAAAUGCGCAGAUAUCAGGAGGAACACCGAUGGCGAAGGCAGGUCUCUGGGCAUUAAACUGACGCUGAGGAGCGAAAGCAUGGGGAGCGAAACAGGAUUAGAUACCCUGGUAGUCCAUGCCGUAAACGUUGGGCACUAGGUGUGGGGGACAUUCCACGUUUUCCGCGCCGUAGCUAACGCAUUAAGUGCCCCGCCUGGGGAGUACGGCCGCAAGGCUAAAACUCAAAGGAAUUGACGGGGGCCCGCACAAGCGGCGGAGCAUGCGGAUUAAUUCGAUGCAACGCGAAGAACCUUACCAAGGCUUGACAUGAACCGGUAAUACCUGGAGACAGGUGCCCCGCUUGCGGUCGGUUUACAGGUGGUGCAUGGUUGUCGUCAGCUCGUGUCGUGAGAUGUUGGGUUAAGUCCCGCAACGAGCGCAACCCUCGUUCUAUGUUGCCAGCACGUGAUGGUGGGGACUCAUAGGAGACUGCCGGGGUCAACUCGGAGGAAGGUGGGGACGACGUCAAAUCAUCAUGCCCCUUAUGUCUUGGGCUUCACGCAUGCUACAAUGGCCGGUACAAAGGGUUGCGAUACUGUGAGGUGGAGCUAAUCCCAAAAAGCCGGUCUCAGUUCGGAUUGGGGUCUGCAACUCGACCCCAUGAAGUCGGAGUCGCUAGUAAUCGCAGAUCAGCAACGCUGCGGUGAAUACGUUCCCGGGCCUUGUACACACCGCCCGUCAAGUCACGAAAGUUGGUAACACCCGAAGCCGGUGGCCUAACCCCUUGUGGGAGGGAGCUGUCGAAGGUGGGACUGGCGAUUGGGACUAA
rnacentral:rRNA from 1 species